ensembl:lncRNA
AAAAAAAAUACAUCAAAAAGUCAUUCAGGGAGCGUGAGUGACUGAUUAAUGUGAUACUCAGAAAGAGAAGGUUUACGCCAUCCGGUACACCGCAUCUUUUGACUGGAAGACAGAGCACGAAGACGGUCAUUACCGAGGGAUGCUGGUCAACAGCCGUUGAAUUCUGCAGUUUUCCGCCUGAAUAACAAAGUGGAAUGAAACACGAGCUCACUGCAGACACAACGACAAACUGCUAACACUGAGCAAACUGACACACCGGCCAACAUAUACACUGAAAAUAACUGUUAUAUCCUCGCUACGUCCGUUUCGUCGUCCGCAGUUCUGAAUGCUGUACUGUUGCGGUGGAAGGGAGAAGGGGGAGAAGGAGCACACGGGCGCGGAGGAGGCGUCGAUGAGCGGAGGGGAAGCGGACACCGUCACCGCUGGAAACCGGGAAGAAACUCCAGCUGCAGGGAUGUUCGACACAACGGAUAUGCCCGAACUCCUGCCGCCAUCGGGGCAACUUCAACCGAGUCCUCGUGACUCGGUGUGUCAGAUGCAGCAUUUGCGGGGUGAGUUCAACAUUGACUGCUUGAGCCCCGAAUCCCCUCAACUGAGGAUAGGCCAGAGGGCCCCCAAACUCGGACAAAUUGGACGGUCAAAGAGAGUGGUCAUAGAGGAUGAAGAUCUUGACGACAUCAUGAACAACAACGAUGGACCACUACCUGUACCUCUCAGUAAUGAGCCGUCCUGAGGCUCUCUAGAUUCGUAAUAUUCUGGACCAGCUAUUCAUGAAUGUGCCCUUCUGCCACGGGACAGUCGAGAUACUUUCAGCAGGAGAAAAGUCAAACCCCUCUCCCAGUAUCAGAUUCACACAAGAUCUGCAUGCGUUUCAGCUGUAGUUUACUAGUCGCAUGGCAGCAGCUGUCAGCCUACAACAGGCCACACAGGUGAUUUGUUGUGUAGUAGCUUUAGACCAGAGCUCUGUGUGUGACACUCGUGCCUCCCAGAGGGAGAAAUGUGCAUAUGUAGGCUGAUUAGCAUAUUUCUGACCAAAGGCAAAGACCAGCCACUGUAGAUCACUCUUUCCAGGCUUGUGCUGUUAUAAAGAUGUUUUCUUUCAAUAUAUUUAUUUAAUCAUUUGGCAAGAAAAACAGCACAAUGCUCUUGUAUUUUGCUUUGUCUCUCAAAACUCUGGAAAUGUAUGCUGCUUCCUAAAGCCAUAAUUGUAACCUACUGUUCAUGACAAUAUUCAAUAUUCAAAUGUCAACUAAAACAGGUAUUUCUUACUUUUUAUUAACGGAAACUAGAAGUAUAUAUAGGUUAAAGCGAUGAUUAAUUUCAUGAUUUCUGUGGAUUCAGAACUAAACUUCUACAGUAACUUUUUUUUUUUGAGGUUAGAUUACUUUGUUUUUUAAUUUAUAAUUAAUUAAUUUAUUUAUUUAGUAUAUAAUCUUAAGUCAUCUUGCUCCCCUUGGCUGAGAAUUACUUUCCUAAAGGAUUUGCAUCUCUAGCUGGUUAACAUGCUUUUAUGCCUUAUGAAACAUUGCACUUUGCAUUAGUUAUAAAUGUGAAAAGCUAUGCACUUGCUUGAUUAUUGCCAUGAAAGUUAUUUUUGAUGAAGUAUGUACCAAGCUUAUAUGAUUAGUUGGCUGAAUGAUUCUGGGGCACGUAUUAAGAAUUUAUAUUGUUUUAUGUGUUGCUUGCAGUUUGUAUUUGAGCACUUGGAAAAAAAAAAAAGAGACUUGCAAAAA